rnacentral:lncRNA from 1 species
CUAGCUAAAGCCCAAAGCCAGAGAAAAAUCGAGGCAGAGAACCUUCCAUCCCACACUAUAAAACAGCACCUUCACUCUCCAAUUUUCUCAUCACACUUAGCAAACUCAUUCAUAUCAAAUCUUCAUUUCUCUUCCAUUUCUCCAAAUUCCAAGAGGUAAUCAUGGGUGUGAUCACUUACGAUGUAGAGACCCCUUCCUCCAUCCCGGCCGGGAAGCUCUUCAAGGCCCUGGUGAUCGACUCCGACACCCUCAUCCCCAAGAUCCUGCCUCAGGCCAUCAAGAACGUCGAGAUCUUGGAAGGAGACGGCGGCGCCGGCACCGUCAAGAUCAUUCAUUUUGGCGAAGGGAGUCAGUAUAAGAGCGUCAAGCACCGUGUGGAGGCCAUCGACAAGGAGAACUUCACCUACACCUACACCAUCAAUGAAGGUGAUGUUCUCGCAGAUGUCAUUGAAUCCAUCACUUACCAUAUCAAGGUCGUCCCAACCGAAGAUGGAGGAAGCAUCUGCAAGAACAGGAGCAUUUACAACACCAAGGGUGAUGCUGUGAUUGAUGAGGAGAAGAUCAAGGAGGGGAAAGACAAGGCCCAACAUAUGUUCAAGGCCAAUGAGGCUUACAUCACCGCCAACCCCGACUACUGAAAGAGACGAGGCUUCAUAUAUCAAUGAUGUCAUUUUAUAUAUAUACGUGGUUUCUGAUAUGAGAUAAUUGGUGUGCGAGAGACUAUGUAUAGGCUUAAUUGCCUAGAGUGAUAUCGAUUUACUUUGUGUGAUUUUUGAAUUUGUGUUGAGUGAAUAUUAUUGUAUUGAAUUUGUGUUGCACUAAAUAAAGAAGCAUAGUUUUUUUUUUUUUUUUUUGAAUUAAUAAAGAAGCAUAGUUAAUUGCAAGUUUGGUGGUCGUGGGAUUAAUAUUUUUAUUGUUCUCUUGUGGUUGUUUUGUUUCUUUAUUUAGGGGUAACUAAUAUAUCCAUAUAUUUCAGAUUAGCAUAUGAACAUAAAUUUCACCUCAAAAUACAAGAACUUUCAUUUUUUAUUUUUUAUUUUUUUCUUUCUAACUUUGCACCUGAUAAAUAAUUUAACGUUGAAAACUGAGGAAGAUGUUGGAAUUAAUCUAUGUAUGCAUAGAGUUUUGAUAUAUAUUUUUAAUGAAUGAAUACUGAGGUAGAAGUCAGAAUUAUCUUUACAUGCAACGAAUUUUUUUUAUAAACAACAUAGUUAGACUAGUAAUGAAAUAUUGUCGUUUCAUCAUAAAAUAAGUCCUAUAUUUUUAGAUGAUCAUUUAAAGCAUUUUUUUUUUUGCAAUUUAAGACUAAGAGCAGUGGCGGAUCCAGGGGGGGCUAGGGGGGGCUUCAGCCCCCUCCCAAUUUUUGAGUUUUUUUUUUUAAAUUAUAGAUAUAUAUUUAUUAUUUUGUUUUAUAUCUAUAUAUAUGUGUAUAUAAAUAAAAAAAUACAAGAAAAAAUAUAGUAAUACAUUAUUUAUAGUAUCCAACUAUCCAUAUUAAUUGCUCAACACAUUGAGUUGUUACAUUUAUAGUAUUAUUUUUAUCAUUUUUUCUUUCUUAGUUAAUUUUUAAUGUUAAAUUUGAGUCAAUUCUAAAGGUAAAAGUAAAAUUACUAAUUACUAACAAUGAAAAUUAGUUUAUUUGUUUAGAAGAUGAAACAAUUUUUUUUUAAGAAAAAUGAAUAAAAGUACGUUUUUAUAUGCUUUCAAUCUACUUGAUGUUGAAUUAAUUGAAUUGCGAACAAUUAUCUUAUUAUAUUAAGUGAUUGUUGAAAAAAUGUAUGAAAUGAAGUGUACGGAAUGCUCAAAAAAAUUUGCUUCGGGGGCUCCCGCCCCCGAACCCCCGUGUAAAUAUUUUCAAGCACCGUAGUCCAAUAGAUUCAGCCCCCCCUAACAUUGAAUCCUGGAUCCGCCCCUGACUAAGAGGGUUGUGAGUUCACGAUCAAGGCCGUACUUCAUUAUUCGUGAUUCAUGAUUUUGAAUUCGUUGUUCGGGUCCAAUAUUUAGGUUCACAUAAUUAGGUCUUCGAGUUGUGUGUUUGUAAUUGAAUCCGUUGAAAAUAUUUUUAAUUUGUGUGCAAGAUUAGGGGGAAAAAAAUGAAAUUUUAUAUAUUUGGAAAUAUGAUUUAUAGCUCAUGUGCAAAAUAAAAAAAUAUAUAAAUUUUUUUAAGAUGCUAUUACCACUUUUAUUUAUUUUCGAGUUGAGUUCAAAAUCAUAAUUAAGGAAGACUGAUAAAAUCUAGAGGUCAAUCGUUUAGGUUGCUCACUGACAAUGAAAUGUGCAAAAUUAAUAUAAAAAUAGGCCAGUGAACCAUGUGGAUUGAAUCGGAGUCUUUUUUAGGUUCAUUUAUAUAGUUGGACAUAAAAGGGGAUAGAGGUUUAAUUCACUCAGUAUAAAAGUUGACGGUGAAUUUUAGACCAAUUAAUGAGAAACAAAUUUUUUAGAAAAUCAAGAAUUUAUGAAUAACUUUUAAUAAAAUAUCAUAUAUAUUUAUUUUCUUUAUCCAGUACUUGAUUUUUAUCCUGUGAUUAUUUAUUAGAUUGCUGAUCCAGUGACUUGAUUUUUAUUGUAUUGGAAAUUGAAUUAUAUAUUCUAGGGUAAAUUUAAUCUAAAACUAUAAUAAAUUUUUGUAAUAUUUUAUUUUUUUUCCAUAAUCUUUUAUUCUUGUUUCAUAAUCUAUUUGAAAUCUCUUGAUUUGAGUUUAGUCUGUAUCUCUGGGCCAAAACGUCAAAUUUGUAUAUGGCCCAAAGGCUUUUAAUGGGCUACAUAGUCAAAUGGGCCGAAUUUUUAGGUCGAGAGUCCAUUGGGUCAAAAUUGCAACUACAGAACGGAAUAUUCUAUUUAAGGAGAUUGGAGUACUUGGACGACGCUGGGGUCAAAAAUUAUUAAUGCGAAUUUUUUUCUAAAUAUUAGACUUUUAAUAAUACAGAGACGACUCUUUACAGAAAUGAAUAUUUUUUAAACAAAAUACUACUUAUAAUAUAUAGUUUAUCCUCGUAUCUUAAGUGACUUUAUUUGUAGGUAUUAUUGUUCGUUUUUUAGUUAAAUGCUUAUUAUGAUGUUUGUAAUUGCAAAAAAUUAAAAGGCAUUCGUAUGAAAAUUGUAUAUUCAGAAAAGAUGGGUUAUUAUUGUGUGAUCACAAUUCACAAGCUUGAGCAGACUUAUUCAAGGAGAUUUGCUGCUCAAAUUUGUGUUCACAUUUAUUGCCAAAUACAAUCAAGAGAAAGUGUAGACUAGUCUACCAUGGAGUGCUACGUACAACCAAUUUUGGUCUUAAAAUAAAUGCAAGUGUGAAUUUUUCUUCUUAUUCUGUUUCUAUAUAUAUAAUUGAAAUAGCUCUCAAUUGACCCUACAAGAAUGCUUCAACUUGUGAUGUCAAAGCAAUUAUAGUAAAGACUGUGAAGUAAUAUAAAAAUACGAUUAACUUACAUCAUUCGGGAAAUUUUCUAUGCAUUUUCUUGACAUGUUUCACAUGCAUGCCACAAGGUGAAGCAAAAAACAUAUGACUUCUUAUUCAUUUUAAUUUAAUACUAAGUUAAAGUUAACUUAAAUCAAUAUCAUGAUUUGGCAUUGACGAACUCAUGCAGCUUAUAAAAUAUCAAGCAUAAUGAUUAGAUAAAAAUCGUCAUACUCGAGUGGUAAAAAAGAAAGAUACAGAUCCUUUUGGGACGGCUAAUGGUAAAGUGAAUAUAAACGUGGUUUAAGUCUGUUAUAUAGACCUAUUUUUUUAAAAUGAGAUUUGCAGAUUUCACAGAAACAUAGAUUUAUCAAAUAAUACGACUUGUCACACAUAGUUUUUGAUGUAUGAUUUGUCUGUAUCGAAUCUUAAUAUCAUAAUGAAUAGUUUUUUUUUUCACAUUUUUUCACUAUUUUCAAUACUAAUUACAAUACAUUUUCACCACUUUCAAUACUAAUUACUCCCUCCGUCCCGGUCAAAGUGGUGCACUUCUUUUGGGCACGGGAUUUAAAGAGAAUAAGAUUGUAGUGUAAAAGUGUGUAAAUGUGUGUGGGGCCAUAUUUUUUGUAGUGUAAAAUUAUUACCAAAAAAGGAAAUGCACCACUUUCGGUGGGACAGCCCAAAAAAGAAUACGCACUACUUUCGGUGGGAUGGAGGAAGUAUAAUAUUUUUCACUAUUUACAAUAUACUCAACAAUUUUGUAUUAAAAUUCGUACCCCUUAGGAAGUUAUUUGGGGGUCGGUAGAGGAUAAUGCCAUGUUCUAUGACACCCCAAAAUAUCAUCGAUUAUUAAAUCAAUCCAUAAAUGCACCAUGAAUAAUUAUGUCUACAUUCAACGAGAUGGGGCUAGCUAAAGCCCAAAGCCAGAGAAAAAUCGAGGCAGAGAACCUUCCAUCCCACACUAUAAAAUAGCACCUUCACACUCUCCAAUUUUCCCAUCACACUUAGCUAAUCUCAUUCAUAUCAAAUCUUCACUUCUCUUCCAUUUCUUCAAAUUAAAAAAAAAAGGGAAUCAUGGGUGCGAUCACUUAUGAUGUAGAGACCCCUUCCUCCAUCCCGGCCGGGAAGCUCUUCAAGGCCCUGGUGAUCGACUCCGACACCCUCCUCCCCAAGAUCCUGCCUCAGGCCAUCAAGAACGUCGAGAUCUUGGAAGGAGACGGCGGCGCCGGCACCGUCAAGAUCAUUCAUUUUGGCGAAGGGAGUCAGUAUAAGAGCGUCAAGCAUCGUGUCGAGGCCAUCGACAAGGACAACUUCACCUACACGUACAGCAUCCUUGAAGGUGAUGUUCUCUCAGAUGCCAUUGAAUCCAUCACUUACCAUAUCAAGGUCGUCCCAACCGAAGAUGGAGGAAGCAUCUGCAAGAACAGGAGCAUUUACAACACCAAGGGUGAUGCUGUGAUUGAUGAGGAGAAGAUCAAGGAGGGGAAAGACAAGGCCCAACAUAUGUUCAAGGCCAUUGAAGCUUACAUCACCGCCAACCCCGACUACUGAACGAGACGAGGCUUCGUAUAUCAAUGAUGUCAUUCUAUAUACGUGGUAUCUCUGAUGCGAGAGGAUCGGUGUGCGAGAGACUAUCUAUAGGCUUAAUUGCCUAGAGUGAUAUUGAUUUACUUUGUGUGGUUUUUGUAUUUGUGUUGAGUGAAUAUUACUGUAUUGAAUUUGUGUUGCACUAAAUAAAGAAGCAUAAUUAAUGUUGCAAGUUUGGUGGUAGUGGGAACAUUUUUAUUUUUCUCGUGGUUGUCUUGUUAUUUUAUUUAAGUGUAAUUAAUAACCGUAUAUUUCGGAUUACGCAUAUGAGUAUAAAUUAAAUUUCGUCUCAAAAUACAAUAACUUUUUUUUUUCUCUAGCUUUGCACCUGAUCAUAAAUAUUUUUGACGAAUAAAUAUUGAUAUAGAAGCCAAAGUUAUCUUUAUGUGCAACGAAAAUCUUCAUAAGCAAUAUAAUUUGAUUAGUAAUAAAAUAUUGUCGUUUCAUCAUAAAAUAAGUCUCAUAUUUUUAGAUGAUCAUUUAAGGCAUUAUUUUUCACAAUUUAAAAUUAAAGGGCUGCGAGUUCACGAUUGAUUCAUGAUUUUGGUUCAUAUAUUUAGGGCUUCGAGUCGUGGAUUCGUGAUUGAGUUGUGAAUGUUUGAAAAUAUCUUUAAUAUGCUUUGGAAAAAAAAAUUAUAUAUUUGGAGACAUGACUUAUGGCUCAUGUGCGAAAUAGAUAAAUGUUAUAAAAUUUUGUAUUUUAGAUACUAUAACCACUUUUAUUUAUUUUCGAGUUUGAGUUCAAAAUAUUACUCCCUCCGUCCCAAUAAAAGUGGCCACAUUUCCUUUUUGGGUGUCCCAUUAAAAGUGGCUACUUUCUAAAAAUGGCAAAAGUUUACUUUAAUUAAGUCAACAAUUACUCACUAAUUUGGUCAACAAUUGUAGGCCAUUUUCUAAAAAUGUCAAAAUUACUUACUAAUUUGGUCAACAAUUGUAGGCCACUUUCUAAAAAUUACUCACUAAUUUUGGUGGGUCACACUCAAUUAAAACAUAACAAUUCCCUUCUUAAUCUCCGUACCUAAAAAAAAGUGGUCAUUUUUAUUGGGACGGAGGGAGUAAUAAUUAAGGAAGACUAAUGAAUCUAGAGGUCAAUAUAUCGUUUAGGUUGCUCACUGACAAUGAAAUGAGUAAAAUUAAUAUAAAAAUAGGCACCAUGUGGAUUAAAUCGGAGUCUUUUUCAGGUUUAUUUAUUUNUUAGGUUAUUUAGUUUAGUUGGACAUAAAAGGGGUUGGGAGGUUUAAUUCACUCAUUAUAAAAAUUGACGGUGAAUUUUGGACCAAUUAAAGAGAAACAAUCUUUAGUUAUAUCAACUCUUAUUAUAUUUACGGAGACUAUUUAUAGAAAAUUCAAGAAUUUAUGAAUAACUUUUAAUAAAUUAAAUAUCCUUUAUACAUUUAUUUUCUUUAUCCAGUGACUAUUUAUUGGAUUGCUUAUCCAGUGACUUGAUUUUUAUUGUAUUGGAUAUUGAAUUAUUAUAGGGGUAAUUUUGACAUCUCGCCGGGGAUUUUUUAGACAAAACUUUAAAAUAAAAAAGUGCAAAUAAAAGUUACUAAUGCGAAAAAUAUUCUAAAUAUUAGACUUUUAAUAAUAUAGAGACUCUUUAACUCUUUACAGAAAUUAAUAUUUUUUAAACAAAAGAUACUAAUAAUAGAUUGUUUAUCCCCGUAUCUUAUAAAGUGACUAGAUUUGUACGUAGGUAUUAUUGUUCGUUUUUGAGUCAAAUGCUUAUUAUGCUGGUUUUAAAAGGCAGUACUGUAAUUACCAUGCAUAUUUUAAUAUUCGUAAGAAAAUUGUUAAGAAAGAUGGGUUAUUGUGUGAUCACAAGCUUGAGCAGACUUAUUCAAGGAUAUUUGCUGCUCAAAAUUUGUGUUCGCAUUGUCUUGCCAAAUACAUACAAGAGAAAGUGUAGACUAGUCUACCAUGGAGUGCUACAACCAAUAUUUGGUCUCAAAAUAAAUGCAAGUGUGAAUUUUUCUUCUUAUUCAGUUUCGAUAAUUGAAAUACCUCUCAAUUGACCCUACAAGAAUGCUUCAACUUGUGAUGUCAAAUCAAUUAUAGGUAAUAAAGACCGUGAAGUAAUAUCAAUAUAUGAUUAACUUACAUAGUUACAUAAAUCUAACAGAAAAAAAAACAAGAAGAAAAGUCCACAACGAGGCACUAACUAAUUUUGUAAAUGAUACUCUCUUCGUCCUCUAAAUAACUUCAUAUCUGUCCCCAAGGGGACACCAAGCGGUGCGAAUAGUGAAUAAAAAAUAAAAUAAAAAAUAAUUAUGUGAAUAGUGAGGUCUCGGGUUCAAACUCCACUGCCCCCCUCCCCAACACCCCCAUGUAAAAAAAUAAAAAAUAAUAAUAACUUCAUAUCUUUUUUUUAGGUUGUCUCCCAAAUAAUUUACUAGUACUUUAUUUUAGGACACUAUCCCAACUUUUCAUAAUACUUCAUUUAUUCUUUUUUUUUUCACCACUCUCAAUACUAAUUACAACACCUUUUCAUCUUUUAUUAUUAUUAUUAUUAUUAUUAUUAUUAUUAUUAUUAUUAUUAUUAUUAUUAUUAUUAUUAUUAUUAUUAUUAUGCACUCAAUAAUUUUAUCUUAAAAUCAAUGGGCCCCCUCAAAAGAUUAUUUGGAGGAUGGAGGGAGCAUAAUGCCAUGUUAUAUGACACCACAAAUAUCAUCAAUUAUUAAAUUCAAACCAUAAUUAAUGCAUCACGAAUAAUUGAGUUGCCAUUCAACGAAAUGGGGCUAAAGCCCAAAGCCAAAGAAAAGUCGAGGUAGAGAACCUUCCAUCCCACACUAUAAAAUAGCACCUCACACUCUCCAAUUUUCCCAUCACACUUAGCUAAUCUCAUUCAUAUAUAUCAAUCACUAAUCAAUCUUCACUUCUCCUCCAUUACUCCAAUUUUUUAAAAAAGAGAAUCAUGGGUGCGAUCACUUAUGAUGUAGAGACCCCUUCCUCCAUCCCGGCCGGGAAGCUCUUCAAGGCCAUCGUGCUCGAGCCGACACCCUCAUCCCCAAGAUCUUGCCUCAGGCCAUCAAGAACGUCGAGAUCUUGGAAGGAGACGGCGGCGCGGCACCGUAAGAUCG